rnacentral:tmRNA from 1 species
GGGGCUGAUCUUUGGUUUCGACUCCGCACAUUGAGCCAGGGGAAGCGUGCCGGUGCAGGCUGAGGACCACCGCAAGCGUCGCAGCAACUGAUUAAGCGCCGAGAACACUCAGCGCGACUACGCCCUCGCUGCCUAAUACAGCGACCGCGUGUCUGUCGGACCGGAGAGGCCCCUGCUCCGGACCCCGGCAUCGUUCAGAGGGGCUCCGCCCGCCGGGUUGGCCGCGAGGCCCGGCGGGGACACCCACUUGCGGCUGGGCCCGUCAUCCGGACAUGUUCGCCUGAUCCGGAGGGCCGAGCAGAGACCCCGCGCGGACUGCGCACGGAGAAGCCCUGGUGAAGUGGCGGAGGACCCGGGUUCGAUUCCCGGCAGCUCCACCG